rnacentral:rRNA from 1 species
UUAAGUUAGAAAGGGCGCACGGUGGAUGCCUUGACACUAGGAGUCGAUGAAGGACGGGACUAACGCCGAUAUGCUUCGGGGAGCUGUAAGUAAGCUUUGAUCCGAAGAUUUCCGAAUGGGGAAACCCACCAUACGUAAUGGUAUGGUAUCCUUAUCUGAAUACAUAGGGUAAGGAAGACAGACCCAGGGAACUGAAACAUCUAAGUACCUGGAGGAAGAGAAAGCAAAUGCGAUUUCCUGAGUAGCGGCGAGCGAAACGGAACAUAGCCCAAACCAAGAGGCUUGCCUCUUGGGGUUGUAGGACAUUCUAUACGGAGUUACAAAGGAACGAGGUAGACGAAGCGACCUGGAAAGGUCCGUCGUAGAGGGUAACAACCCCGUAGUCGAAACUUCGUUCUCUCUUGAAUGUAUCCUGAGUACGGCGGAACACGUGAAAUUCCGUCGGAAUCUGGGAGGACCAUCUCCCAAGGCUAAAUACUCCCUAGUGAUCGAUAGUGAACCAGUACCGUGAGGGAAAGGUGAAAAGCACCCCGGAAGGGGAGUGAAAGAGAUCCUGAAACCGUGUGCCUACAAAUAGUCAGAGCCCGUUAACGGGUGAUGGCGUGCCUUUUGUAGAAUGAACCGGCGAGUUACGAUUCCGUGCGAGGUUAAGCUGAAGAGGCGGAGCCGCAGCGAAAGCGAGUCUGAAUAGGGCGUUUAGUACGUGGUCGUAGACCCGAAACCAGGUGAUCUACCCAUGUCCAGGGUGAAGUUCAGGUAACACUGAAUGGAGGCCCGAACCCACGCACGUUGAAAAGUGCGGGGAUGAGGUGUGGGUAGCGGAGAAAUUCCAAUCGAACCUGGAGAUAGCUGGUUCUCCCCGAAAUAGCUUUAGGGCUAGCCUUAAGUGUAAGAGUCUUGGAGGUAGAGCACUGAUUGGACUAGGGGUCCUCAUCGGAUUACCGAAUUCAGUCAAACUCCGAAUGCCAAUGACUUAUCCUUAGGAGUCAGACUGCGAGUGAUAAGAUCCGUAGUCAAAAGGGAAACAGCCCAGACCGCCAGCUAAGGUCCCAAAGUGUGUAUUAAGUGGAAAAGGAUGUGGAGUUGCUUAGACAACUAGGAUGUUGGCUUAGAAGCAGCCACCAUUUAAAGAGUGCGUAAUAGCUCACUAGUCGAGUGACUCUGCGCCGAAAAUGUACCGGGGCUAAAUACACCACCGAAGCUGCGGAUUGAUACCAAUGGUAUCAGUGGUAGGGGAGCGUUCUAAGGACAGUGAAGUCAGACCGGAAGGACUGGUGGAGUGCUUAGAAGUGAGAAUGCCGGUAUGAGUAGCGAAAGACGGGUGAGAAUCCCGUCCACCGAAUGCCUAAGGUUUCCUGAGGAAGGCUCGUCCGCUCAGGGUUAGUCAGGACCUAAGCCGAGGCCGACAGGCGUAGGCGAUGGACAACAGGUUGAUAUUCCUGUACCACCUCUUUAUCGUUUGAGCAAUGGAGGGACGCAGAAGGAUAGAAGAAGCGUGCGAUUGGUUGUGCACGUCCAAGCAGUUAGGCUGAUAAGUAGGCAAAUCCGCUUAUCGUGAAGGCUGAGCUGUGAUGGGGAAGCUCCUUAUGGAGCGAAGUCUUUGAUUCCCCGCUGCCAAGAAAAGCUUCUAGCGAGAUAAAAGGUGCCUGUACCGCAAACCGACACAGGUAGGCGAGGAGAGAAUCCUAAGGUGUGCGAGAGAACUCUGGUUAAGGAACUCGGCAAAAUGACCCCGUAACUUCGGGAGAAGGGGUGCUUUCUUAACGGAAAGCCGCAGUGAAUAGGCCCAAGCGACUGUUUAGCAAAAACACAGCUCUCUGCGAAGCCGUAAGGCGAAGUAUAGGGGGUGACACCUGCCCGGUGCUGGAAGGUUAAGGAGAGGGGUUAGCGUAAGCGAAGCUCUGAACUGAAGCCCCAGUAAACGGCGGCCGUAACUAUAACGGUCCUAAGGUAGCGAAAUUCCUUGUCGGGUAAGUUCCGACCCGCACGAAAGGUGUAACGAUUUGGGCACUGUCUCAACCAGAGACUCGGUGAAAUUAUAGUACCUGUGAAGAUGCAGGUUACCCGCGACAGGACGGAAAGACCCCGUGGAGCUUUACUGUAGCCUGAUAUUGAAUUUUGGUACAGUUUGUACAGGAUAGGCGGGAGCCUUUGAAACCGGAGCGCUAGCUUCGGUGGAGGCGCUGGUGGGAUACCGCCCUGACUGUAUUGAAAUUCUAACCUACGGGUCUUAUCGACCCGGGAGACAGUGUCAGGUGGGCAGUUUGACUGGGGCGGUCGCCUCCUAAAGUGUAACGGAGGCGCCCAAAGGUUCCCUCAGAAUGGUUGGAAAUCAUUCGUAGAGUGCAAAGGCAUAAGGGAGCUUGACUGCGAGACCUACAAGUCGAGCAGGGACGAAAGUCGGGCUUAGUGAUCCGGUGGUUCCGCAUGGAAGGGCCAUCGCUCAACGGAUAAAAGCUACCCCGGGGAUAACAGGCUUAUCUCCCCCAAGAGUCCACAUCGACGGGGAGGUUUGGCACCUCGAUGUCGGCUCAUCGCAUCCUGGGGCUGUAGUCGGUCCCAAGGGUUGGGCUGUUCGCCCAUUAAAGCGGUACGCGAGCUGGGUUCAGAACGUCGUGAGACAGUUCGGUCCCUAUCCGUCGUGGGCGUAGGAAAUUUGAGAGGAGCUGUCCUUAGUACGAGAGGACCGGGAUGGACGCACCGCUGGUGUACCAGUUGUUCUGCCAAGGGCAUAGCUGGGUAGCUAUGUGCGGAAGGGAUAAGUGCUGAAAGCAUCUAAGCAUGAAGCCCCCCUCAAGAUGAGAUUUCCCAUAGCGUAAGCUAGUAAGAUCCCUGAAAGAUGAUCAGGUUGAUAGGUUCGAGGUGGAAGCAUGGUGACAUGUGGAGCUGACGAAUACUAAUAGAUCGAGGACUUAACCAU